UUGAACCGAAUGCUCACCCCUACUUCUCUUUGUAUUUACCAUUACUUUUUGUUCUCUGUCUGCAAAUCUUUACGAAUGCUGCAUGUGUUGGUUGAAAUGCAUUUAGCUCUGAAAUUUCUUAUAUGAGCAACGUGCUAGAUGUUCUGUAGCUUAUUGGACAUUUUACACUGCAGGUACAGGAAAUGGAGCUGAAAUAAGUGAUAGUAAAGAAGAGGAC
rnacentral:misc_RNA from 1 species